ACUGUAAUUGCUAGACCAUAUGGUAAAAGUUGGUUUUGUAAGAAACUGCCAAACUCCUUUCCUAAAUGGCUGUACCAUUUUGCAUUUCCACCAGCAAU
rnacentral:pre_miRNA from 1 species